rnacentral:rRNA from 1 species
GACGAACGCUGGCGGCGUGCUUAACACAUGCAAGUCGAACGAAGUGGCGAACGGGUGAGUAACGCGUAAUCAACCUGCCCUUCAGAGGGGGACAACAGUGGGAAACGACUGCUAAUACCCCAUACUGAAGGACGGGAUUGCGGCUGAUUAGCUAGUUGGAGGGGUAACGGCCCACCAAUGCGAUGAGCAGUAGCAGGUCUGAGAGGAUGAACGGCCCCAUUGGGACUGAGAAACGGCCCAGACUCCUACGGGAGGCAGCAGUGGGGAAUCUUCCGCAAUGGACGAAAGUCUGACGGAGCAAAGGCGCGUGAGUGAUGACGGCCUUCGGGUUGGAAAGCUAUGUUAAUCGGGACGCGGUACCGGAAUAGAAAGCAACGGCUAACUACGUGCCAGCAGCCGCGGUAAUUC